rnacentral:rRNA from 1 species
AUUGAACGCUGGCGGCAGGCCUAACACAUGCAAGUCGAGCGGAUGAAGGGAGCUUGCUCCUGGAUUCAGCGGCGGACGGGUGAGUAAUGCCUAGGAAUCUGCCUGGUAGUGGGGAUAACGUCCGGAAACGGGCGCUAAUACCGCAUACGUCCUGAGGGAGAAAGUGGGGGAUCUUCGGACCUCACGCUAUCAGAUGAGCCUAGGUCGGAUUAGCUAGUUGGUGGGGUAAAGGCCUACCAAGGCGACGAUCCGUAACUGGUCUGAGAGGAUGAUCAGUCACACUGGAACUGAGACACGGUCCAGACUCCUACGGGAGGCAGCAGUGGGGAAUAUUGGACAAUGGGCGAAAGCCUGAUCCAGCCAUGCCGCGUGUGUGAAGAAGGUCUUCGGAUUGUAAAGCACUUUAAGUUGGGAGGAAGGGCAGUAAGUUAAUACCUUGCUGUUUUGACGUUACCAACAGAAUGAGCACCGGCUAACUUCGUG